CAGACGUGCGCGGUUGGUAUUCAGCCUUACUUCGGUUUGGUGUAUUUGCCUUCCAUUGCAGGCCAGCAUCGGUUUAUCGUGCUGUAUAAGGGUGUUUGGAAUGUAGCUUCUUCGGGAGUGUUAUAGCCUUUCACUGGAUGCAGUGUUGUAGACCGAGGAACACAGCGCGCCGUAAGGCAGGUUCUCAGGACUUAAGCGCUUAGGAUGCUGGUAGAAUGGCUUUAAACGCCCGUCUUGAAACACGGACCAAGGAGUCUAACAUGUAUGCGAGUGUU
rnacentral:rRNA from 1 species